CUACACCACAGUGCCAGCAAGUCCUACUGUACUUUCCUGCUGCCAGAUGCUACAGGAGAAAUACUUCCAGAGAAUAUUUCAGUGAAAUCAGGUAAAAAGUAGAACAUUGAUAUGAAAAAUACCACCACUCAGGAAUUAACUGAGAAAUGUGAUUUAAAAUACAGCCCCUGCACCUGGCUCCCUCCAACCAAGGGGAUGAAAUCCAGCACUGCAAACGCAGCACUUACUGCCAGCAUCCGAGUGCAGACACUCA